rnacentral:lncRNA from 1 species
GCCAUAGGUCCUCAAUAGCUAAACUCAUAUUUCUGUUCCUCUCUUUUGCCUUAGCUCCCAGAGCUGCUUACACCUGCUUGGCUGAUUUCCCUGGGCUGUGCUGAGGAGUGAGAAGGGGUGAGAGGAGCUGGUACUAAUUUCAUCUCCCUUCUACGCCCCAGCAUAUAAUGGGAAAGGCCUGAUUUUCACCACCAUCUACAAUACCAGGGACAUGAACCUGAUGUGAAUCUCAGGGUUAGCAUCCUUCCUCAUCCAACUCCCAGAGCAUAUCUGUACAUUAUCUGGAUUAUUUCAAAUGUUGAGAACAUCGAUAUUGAGAAAGUGCUGCUUAUUAUGGCAUUUUGAGAAGCACCACUAAACUAAAAAGCAGGUCAGACACUCUUAGACUGAGUUGAAA